rnacentral:rRNA from 1 species
AGAGGGCGUGAAACCGUUUAGAAGUAAAGGGGUAAAGCCGCGAGGUAGUCGUAAAAAUCAGCCGGGCGAAGGUCUCGGUCUCGGAAGUUCGACGUUAAAGCGAACGACCGGACGCUUAUAGGGGCCGUAGUCUGGUGCACUUUUUGCGACGAGCAUCUCGACUAAAGCGAAUCCCGGUGGAAAACGGACUUUGAAGACAGAGCCGAGUGUUCUGUGACUAAGGUUCGUCUAAGAGACUGGUGAAUCGUUUUGGGUACCCUAGUAGUCGCCGUUAAGGCUCGUGAAAAUUCGAUGGCUAGUUGGUCGAAAUGUCCGUUCUUGCUCGCAGGAUCGGGCGACCCCUGAUUUUGACGUCGAAUCGAAUCGAGAGACUACGAAGGUUCAGAGGUGUCUGAGGCGGUCGCUUACCCCACCCGUCUUGAAACACGGACCAAGGAGUCUAACAUGUGCGCGAGUUAUUGGGUGGUAAACCCAAAGGCGAAAUAAAAGUAAAGGCCGCUUUCGCGGUAAUAAAUACGAUCCUGGCGAUUAGCUAGGCGGAGUAUUGUCCCAUCCAAGCGGUGCGUCCGCCGGGUGGAGAAAGAGCGUAAAUGUUGGGACCCGAAAGAUGGUGAACUAUGCUCGAGCAGAACGAAGCCAGAGGAAACUCUGGUGGAGGUUCGUAGCGGUUCUGACGUGCAAAUCGAUCGUCAGACUUGGGUAUAGGGGCGAAAGACUAAUCGAACCAUCUAGUAGCUGUUUCCCUUNUGAAA